ACAGAAAAGAAGAAAAAAA
rnacentral:sRNA from 1 species